AUGUUCCGAUGUCCUUUCUGUUUUGUUCGUAAUUUACUCUUGUCUCCCGUAAUGUUAUUUAAAGCAGCUAUCUAACACGUCUCAUCAAUGUUUAAUAAUUGAUACAGCAGUUUUUUCAUAGGAUCUUGUUAUCCUAACUAUUUUGUUUUCCUACUCGUUUUUUACUUUCAGUAUUGGCUUGCCGAUUUGGAACUGCACAAUUGUACAACUGACCACUUAACUCAUCAUCCAAUGGAAGUGUGAACACAUUUACCCACUACGGAUAAUUAAUUUAUGGUUCAAACAUAUUUAUGGUUCAUGCACUAUUUAACGUGUCCUAAGGGUACUCAUUUUAGAUAACAAUCAUUUCAGUACCUCUGCUAAAAAAAUUUGUUUUCCUUUCUAAUGCAGUUUAAUCUCUUGCUUGAUAUAUUUAAAGUCACUAUUGUGAAGGUACAUUAGAACUACAUGCCUUUUUAUCGCUCUACCCUGAAUUAUUUUCCUGAACUAUUAAUUCCGAACUAUAUAUUUCAGCUUGUAAAGAGGAUGUUAUUGCCCACGUUAUGGGGCCUGUUAAUAAUUAACUAAACUAUUAGCUAUUUUAGAUAAGAUAAUAAUAAUAAUAUUAUAACUUUACUAUCACCACAAGAAGCUGACAUGUUUAUAGAUCCAGACUAUGCUUAGAAAGAGUUGCCAAGAUCACCCCAAAGAUCUUCUAAUCAAAGAUGCUCUCACAGGAUGCAGAUGCCUGAUACGAAAUGAAUGAGAAAGAACGCCCUGUUCACCGAAACAACAUUAAUGAACUUGUCAACUAUGCAGGGUAUUAGAAGAAACAAGACGUAGACAUCUUUAAAGCGAAGAUCAACUAUGCUAAAAUGAAGCACAAAUCCAGUGUGGUGGAAUUGGAUCGUUUGAAGGAAAAAUAUCCUCAUGCCUGGAGACGUACGUGCGAAAGACAAAAUUUGCCUAGCUAAAGAAAUUCUAGCUAAGAAAGCAGAGUUCAGAGCAGAUUUGAAGCAGAAAGCUGCCGACCAACAUAAACACCUCUCAGCGCAGCAACACAAAACAAAAAAAGGUGGCACCCAAUCUAUUCACCCAACUCCUGACAGUACAUGGAAUCACCCCAGACAAUUACAGACUUCCUCUGGCGUUUGGUCUUCUCCCUGGAAAGCGGCAAGAACACUACACAAACCUACUAGAAGAACUGGAUCGCUUUGGACCUUUCCAUCCAGACACCGCCCUUUGCGAUUAUGAAGCUGGGCUACGGAACAGUGUCACUGCUGUCUGGCCCGGGGCUACUCUACGUGGCUGCUACUUCCACUUCAAACAGGCUCUAUGGAGAAACUUCGCUCGCUCCGACCUUGUUCCGGAGUAUCAGGUGGUUGGAUCCGACAUCCGGAAAGCCUUCCAACGGAUCGGAGCUCUACCUUUCAUCCCUCCUGGUGACGUCCACUACGCAUGGCAGACCCUUAGAGUUAGACCUAUCCUCUCCGCAGAUAUGGAUGUCUUUACAUUAUACUUUGAGUCCACGUGGAUGGGAACACCAAACAGACCUGCUCGCUUCGAUCACCUGUCCUGGAACCAGUACGAUUGCUGUCUAACUGGUCUCCCACGCUCUUUGAACCUUGCAGAAGGAUGACAUAAUGGCUUCCGCAGCCUCGUCCAGUGUUCAAAUCCUACCAUCUGGAAAUUCCUUGAAGCCCUCAAACUAGAGCAAGGACUAACAGACCAGAAGAUCACGGAUAGGCUGAUGAGAAGACCUCCACCCCAGAGAGCUGCCAAGUGGAUAAGGUACGACUCCCUUCUGGAAUCCUUCAUGCAAGCCUACAAUAACCAGGAGUACGAAGUCAUUGAUUAUCUCUCUGCUGUUUUUGCUGCACUAUGAAUUCGACAUUUGAUUAUUGAUAUUAACGGUUUUAUGAUAUUGGUAUUUAGUUAUACUUUCGAUUGUACUAUAUUUCAACCUUACUGCUAGGUUAUUUGAUCAUUGUUGAACUGUGUUUCAACGAUCAAUGCUUAAAUUAUUAGAAUCUUCAAUUAUGUUAGGCUUGAACUACUGUGAACACAAUAGAGAAUUAGAUAGUCAGCCAGGUCUGUAAUGAUUCCAUUUUAUUUGCAUCAUCCGAAAGUAUUUUGUACCUUUUAUUUGUGAUCUUCAUUGACACAAUAUUUGUAUAUCCAUAACCCUGUAACACGAACAGUUUUAAUAUCAAAACCGAGUCUUAACUGUUAGGUUAUUUAAAAUAGCUGGCAUCGCUUUCGUAAUUGGUGCAUCGUGUGACCACCCAGACCACGGAGAGGAGAUCUCUGUCAUUCCUCUAGCAAAGCAGCCAGUUUAAAUUGAGAAGAGUAGCCCCUGAUGGGUGGUUACAGGUUAUCAGGAAGAGAGAGAGCAUGAACUGGACGAGUUUUGAUUUAAGAUGGUGUAAUUCAGAUAUUAUAGGCUAGGGCAUUGCAUUCAACAAUUUUGGGCCUGCACUUGCAGAUGAAUCUUCGUACAGCGACGGAUUCGCUGCCAAGCUGUGUCUGCAGAUCGAAUGACUGCAAGGUUUCUAAAACAUGGCCAGGAGACGAACUGCAAUGUUGACAACCGUUUACUUAAAGAUUUUAGAGUAAGCAUUUCAUGGGAUGUUUCGACUGUAAUCUUGAAUAUGACUGAAAUGAAUUAUUGAUAGAAUAAAA